ensembl:lncRNA
UUUUUCUUUUUUUUGUUUUGAGACGGAGCUGUCGCCCAGGCUGGAGUGCAGUGGCCAGAUCUCAGCUCACUGCAAGCUCCGCCUCCCGGGUUCCCGCCAUUCUCCUGCCUCAGCCUCCUGAGUAGCUGGAACUACAGGCGCCGCCACCUCGCCCGGCUAAUUUUUUGUAUUUUUUUAGUAGAGACGGGGUUUCACCGUGUUAGCCAGGAUGGUCUCGAUCUCCUGACCUCGUGAUCCGCCCGUCUCGGCCUCCCAAAGUGCUGGGAUUACAGGCUUGAGCCACUUUUUUAUGUUUUUUAGUAGAGACGGGGUUUCACCGUGUUAGUCAGGAUGGUCUCGAUCUCCUGACCUCAUGAUCCGCCCGUCUCAGCCUCCCAAAGUGCUGGGAUUACAGGCUUGAGCCACCGCGCCCGGCCACAUUUUUAUUUUCAAGGACAGUGACCCAGCCCAGGAGAAACGCCCUGACCCCUGGGGCAAAGUGCAGACCCCAGCUCCGUGCUUCGCAGGUGGGACGAUGGACAGGGGUCAGGCUCCCGCCCAGAGUGGAGCCCACGACCUGCCCAGCCCCCGGUGCCCCGUGACCCCUGCCGCCUGAUCCUUGCCUGGCUGAGAUGGGGCUUCUGAAGCCUGCUGGCACCAGGGCAGGCUGCGGACUGGGUCCAAUUUAUUCUGUAAUGAGAAAUUCUCCCCGCAUAUUUUUAGCUUCCUCCUGGCGUCGCGGCCUUUGAAGGCUGAGGGGCUGCGGGACGCUGAUCCCAAGCCCUGUGGCCUGGCCCUGUGGGCAGUGGGCAGCGGGUGCUGGGCAUGGGCUGGACAAGUCUACCCCUUCCCAAGUCCGGGUAGACCCCAGACCCAGGAGUGCAGAGCAGGGGGCGGGGCCAGACCCCAUCAAGCCCUGUCCUGGCUCUGGACCGGGGACUGAGGGCGACCCUGGAUAACCCCUGACCUUGGCUGACCCCUGUCCCCAGCGUGAGCCUGACCUCUGACCCUCAGCUCCACAGGAAGCUUACUCUAGAGUGAUCUCCGGCCACGGCCGCGUCCCAAAGCUGGGACAGCCCCCAGCCCCAGGAGGGAACAGGGCUUCCUGGGCCCCCACAGUGGCCCCCGGCCGGGCGGGGCUUUGCUAGGGCAGCCUCACCCGGGGCCAGGCUUCGGAGACGCCAUGCCCUCCCCUUCCCUCCCCAGGUCCUUCCUCUAGGAGCGGCCAGCGGGCGCGGGGAGGUUGAAUGGGGGACGCACCGCCUUUGUUCCCGUCCCUGCUUGGGCUCUGACCUUGAGAGAGAGACAAGAACAGAAGGAAAACGGAGCUUCUGCUCAAAUCCGCUCAGCGGUGGCGGUGGCGUCGGCUCUCGCCUCGGUGGCCCCUGCAUGCAAAUGAGUGGCCCUGUCAUGCCUGGGUGGAGGUGGUGCCCUUCCAGCUCCCACCUGUGCAGGUCCCAGUCCUGGUUUGAGAAGAGAUGCCCUCCUCCCAACCCUGGCCCACCCCUGCUCACCCAUGAGAUCCCUUGAAGCCGGAGGGGGCUUCUGGUCCCAGGGCAGAGGGAAGCUUCCAGAACUCCCACCUUUGCCAGGUGGCAUGCUGGGGCCAGGCACGCCAAGACCCCAGGCUCACGGCUCCUUGUCCU